rnacentral:tRNA from 1 species
AAAAGGAUCACUGUGUAUCACACUUUUAAAUUCCAAAACACAAAUAAUGAAACAAGAUGCUAUGCUGAGACUCAGCGUGCCAGUCUCCCUGGUCUGGCAACUUCGAACUCAGGAAGAGGCCCCGUGGAAAGAGGAUUAGUUUAUACGGACCUUCCUGCUCUCUAAAAUCACCUUUGUUUAGCUGUAAUACCCUAGGGGCAAAAGCUGCGCCCAACGUGGGGCUCGAACCCACGACCCUGAGAUUAAGAGUCUCAUGCUCUACCGACUGAGCUAGCCGGGCUGAUGCAAAGAGGAAACUACAAUUCUCCUGAACUUCGCUGAACCUAAAACUGGUAGGCACACGCUCUGAAUCCCGCGCACACCGUCUCCCUCGGUUAGGGUGUGGGAGGUGCCGGGUUCCAAUCACAGACGAUUUCUCAUUUUCAAACUCUCAACCCCUUUCAGGAGAGGUAGCAUUAAGCCGAUCAGGAAGGCUUGAUGGCCUCGCCGCCGGGACAAGCCGGGAGACCUUCCCUCCCUGGAGGGUGGGGGUGGGGUGGGGGGAUGUGGACCCCUUGCUUGUGCAAAAAUUUGGAGCAGCUGCCCUUCCGGGAGAAGUGAGCACCACCCCCCAGUUCGGACCCCUACAUCAGGUUACAGAUUCGUGAGGGUUUCCUGCAGCCGAGCCCAGACCAGGAAGGACCCGGAGAAGCUCGAGGGUCACCCGGGACCGGCCGGCUGGGAGGAUCUGGCUGCGAUUCUCAGCCCGGGAUCCGAAGGCGGAGCCGCGGUCUCAGGCCUCCAAGGACAGACACCAGAAAUCGCUACAGCACCGGCUCGUUGGUCUAGGGGUAUGAUUCUCGCUUUGGGUGCGAGAGGUCCCGGGUUCAAAUCCCGGACGAGCCCAGUUUUGUUUUUUUUUGUUUUUUUUUCCGCCCCCUCAGACAUCGGCUAGUUUUCGGUUUGAAGACUCCGGAUCUCUGCGGAGUCCUGAGCAACGGAAUCGUUCCCGCCGGCCGCGAUCCGAUCGUCCGCGCUCGGUUCUGUUCUGCCAAGCGGCCGUCACUGCGCUGGGUCGCAGCAGGGGCGGCGGCCCUCGAGCCCUGGGCCUGGCCCUGGGGGAGGAGACCGAGGUGGCUCAGUCUCGGCUCUCGGGAGGCCAGACGGCCACUGGGCUGGGUGAUGAUCGGCCUGGGCGAUGAUGUGACUUGCUGCGUGUGUUUAUACUCUGGGUAAUAAACUCAAAUUUUAUGACCCAAGUAAAGGACAAGCCCACGUUUCAAUGUCUUUCCUAUUUGAGGGGCUGCCCAAAGGGUCUUCCACGACCCAGGGAAGGAAGGAAAGGCAGAGGAGACUGCGCGUGGGGCCGCAGACCACUAGUCUCCACGGGGUCCAGGGGGCCGUGCUCCAGACACGGGGUCUCCUCUCCCCCUAGAAGAACCGCGGUGUUUUCAUAGGUUUUAUUAUUAUUUUCUGAGGCCAACUGGUCCAGCCACUGAGAAGGCUUAUUACAGUUUCCAAGAGGAGGUGGCACGGCUCCGCGUGGGGAGGAGGGACGGGACGCACCAGCGUCGGAAGGGAGAAGAAAAUGAAGGCAAGAGACUUUCUCGUGGUUUCAGGGAAGGUGAAACAGGGAAGGCAGGGAAGACAGGCCGAAAUGGCUGGCUGAAAUAAGUUCAGUGGGCUCGGGGGUACAGGUGCUGUCCCUGGUUGUCUGUCUCCUGGCCUUGAGGUGAUUCUGCAGGUGGAUUGUGGCCCAGAGGGUGAGAGUUUGAUAAAAACAGGUGAUCGUCGGCUGUGGACCCUGGAUUGGUUGGUUUAUCUUUGAAAAAUGCCUGCUGACAGAGAAAUUGCUUGCUAUCUCGAACAAUUGACCAGAUCCAUGGGUCUGGAAGACCCCCUGGAGUAGGAAAUGGGAACCCACUCCAAUAUUCUUGCCUGGAAAAUUUCCAUGGGCAGAGGAGCCUGGCGAACUACAGUCCAUGCGGUCGCAAAGAGUCUGACAGGACUGCAAAACCGAGCACCAUUGACCAGGAGGAAGGUUCAAGAGGGAGGGGACAUAUUCACUUACGGCCGAUUCACGUUGAUGAAUGGCAGAAACCAACACAAUACUGUAAAUCAAUU